rnacentral:tRNA from 1 species
GCCGAAGUGGCGGAAUUGGUAGACGCGCACGUUUGAGGGGCGUGUGGCGAAAGCCGUGCCGGUUCGAGUCCGGCCUUCGGCACCA